UCCAGCAUCUAACAGUCAUGAAAGGGAGAGAAGUGGCAUAUGAAAUAGACUAAAACCAGUACUGAAACACAGGGACAACAUGCUAUGGGAACACAGUGGAAGAAGCAGCUAAUUCCUGUUGAGAUUUAUGCCAAGAAUCAUGAGAUCUGUGUCAAGGAGGUGAGCUCAUCCAUCAGCAAAACCACUGAUGAUGUGCAUCUUGCUCUGAAAGACUGUUCUGCUGGGACCUAUCAAAUAAUAAUACGCAUACAUACUCCAGCCCCCAGGACUGAUGGGAUAUUGAAUUCCAACAUCCUAAGCAGAUAAUGGUUCUGGGAUACAUGUGCAGAACGUGCAGGUUUGUUACAUAGCUACACACGUGCCAUGGUGGUUUGCUGCACCCAUCAACUCGUCAUCUACAUUAGACCGGCUGCUACAAACACCGUGUCUUUAUCUACCCGAAACUUUGUUCUCAGCUUCCUUCUCCCCUGACAUUCUCAGUACCUCUCUAUUCAUGAAAUCCUACC
rnacentral:lncRNA from 10 species